CUGGCUAGAGUACGAGUUGUUGGUUGGUCUAAUUAUACCGAUUUCUAGCAUCUUUGCCACAUGUUUUCCUGUCUCUUACUUCAAGAAGUGAGGAUACCUAUAAAGCCUCACAUUGAUAGGAUCCACUUCAACCUUAAGGGGAAUCUUAUGAUCAUGUUUCCUUCUGGUGGGAGGUCAGUAGGCUCCUUGAACAAUUCCCCAUACCUCCUCAAGAUAUCUUCUAGUUCUAGGGAUUGGUUUGGAGUUAAUUGUUCCAUUCCCUUUUCUCUUCUUUCCGUCUUAGUUUUUUCCAGGCUCCAAACCAGAGUUACCACCUCAAUUCCUGUUUCCUUCACUAAUGCUUCAGGAGUCACCAUUUUCUUGCCUAGAGUAGGGUCACCCUCAAUCAUCACCUCCCUAUCUCCUUUCCCAAAACUCAUUGUUAGAUUCUUCCAAUUCAUUUGGACUUCCCCAAGAGAUGCUAGCCAUGUUACCUCCAAUAUUAGGUCUAUUCCACCUAGAAAUUCUCCCUUACUUCCAUCCCUUCCAACACAACUAAAACAUCCCUACAACAUCCACUUGUGACCUUCUUAUGGCCAUCUCGCAAGCACACUGUAUAGGGAAAAGUUUCUUCUACCCCAAACCCAGUUCUUUUACCAGUUUGGUUGAGAUAAAGUUGUGGUUGUAUUAAAAUAAGGCCCAAAAGCCUUAAAGCGAAGGCCCAGUCCACAAAGUCUACAAGAGAUAAAAUAUCUCCUGAUCAAAACCACUGCCUCGAGGCAGUUUGUGUCAGCAAAGAGAGAUAAUACGAAAACAUCUUCUGGAAGCUUGGAGAGGAAGAGCACGAAGCUCUCUUGCAAUGAACGUUUAUGGCUACCGGAAGGCGGAAGAGAAGCAGUUCGGGAAAGACGCUCCAGGGAAGAAGAUCUCCCAUGUUUACAACCAGAGCUCCAUACACAGGAGGAACAUCGAUCCAGUGAUUCUGAUGAAGAACUUGAAGACCACCAAGUUGAUCUUGUAGAAGUAAAGUCAUGAAGUUACCGUCUGUGUGUUUGGAAGUGCCCAUAGUUAAUUCAGGUUCAGGGCAUGGUGGAUAGUAGUGACCCAUGAUAUAGAGCCCUUCACCACAAUUCAUCUCUUUAAGGUAAGAAGCAUCAAGUCCCAAAGCCUCUGACAAUAAUUCAAAGAUUGUAAAACCCAAAUCCCUUAUUUUCUUUGAAUAUUCAAUCAAAAUAUCCCUGCCAGAGAGUAAUUAA